UGGUUGCAAAGCUGACACUUAAAGGAAUUGACGGAAGGGCACCACCAGAAAUGGAGCCUGCGGCUUAAUUUGACUCAACACGGGUAAGCUCACCCGGUCCGGACACAGGAAGGAUUGACAGAUUGAUAGCUCUUUCUUGAUUCUGUGGGUGGUGGUGCAUGGCCGUUCUUAGUUGGUGGGGUGACUUGUCUGGUUAAUUCCGAUAACGAACGAGACUCUAGCCUACUAAAUAGACGCACCCGCCCUCAACGGGCGGGACGUUCUUCUUAGAGGGACAAGCGGCUCUCAGCCGCACGAGACAGAGCAAUAACAGGUCUGUGAUGCCCUUAGAUGUCCGGGGCCGCACGCGCGCUACAUUGGAGGAGGCAGCGUGUGCUUUCCCUGGCCGAAAGGUCUGGGCAACCCGAUCAGUCUCCUCCGUGCUGGGGACAGGGGAUUGUAAUUGUUCCCCUCGAACGAGGAAUUCCCAGUAAGCGCGAGUCAUCAGCUCGUGCUGACUAAGUCCCUGCCCUUUGUACACACCGCCCGUCGCUACUACCGAUUGAAUGAUUCGGUGAGGUCUUCGGACUGGCGCUCGGUUCAGCCCUCGCGGUGGAGCUGGCGUGCCGGAAAGAUGACCGAACUUGAUUAUUUAGAGGAAGUAAAAGUCGUAACAAGGUUUCCGUAGG
rnacentral:rRNA from 1 species